AUUAAACGCUGGCGGCAUGCCUUACACAUGCAAGUCGAACGGCAGCACGGGGCAACCUGGUGGCGAGUGGCGAACGGGUGAGUAAUGCAUCGGAACGUGCCAUUGGGUGGGGGAUAACGUAGCGAAAGUUGCGCUAAUACCGCAUAUUCUGUGAGCAGGAAAGCAGGGGACCGCAAGGCCUUGCGCUCUUUGAGCGGCCGAUGUCAGAUUAGCUAGUUGGUGAGGUAACGGCUUACCAAGGCGACGAUCUGUAGCGGGUCUGAGAGGAUGAUCCGCCACACUGGAACUGAGACACGGUCCAGACUCCUACGGGAGGCAGCAGUGGGGAAUUUUGGACAAUGGGCGCAAGCCUGAUCCAGCCAUGCCGCGUGAGUGAAGAAGGCCUCGGUUGUUAAAGG
rnacentral:rRNA from 1 species